rnacentral:tRNA from 1 species
AGGGCAGUAGCUCUAAUGGUAGAGCGGCGGUCUCCAAAACCGCAUGCUGGGGGUUCGAGUCCCUCCUGCCCUG